UCUGCGUUCAAGAGACUUCAUUGAAUUGACAAAGAAGUACAAGAGAGAAGACUUUCUCUUUCCAGUUCGCAUUUUCAAAGUGAACGAAAGAAAGACAUUUGGUUUUACGUGCCAUUACGAAAACGAAAAUUAUUACGAGAGUGAAUCACUGGAUCAUAACGUCAAAAAUCCCCAAAACGAGCAACAGCCUUGUGACUGCUUUGGUAUGAACGUUACAAGAAAUACAGAAGAAACAAAUCUUUAUAACUUUUGUGACAGUAUGGCGGAAAAUACCUAUCCGUUAAUUUGGCCGUCACCACCUGAAACAAUAUUUCAAAACCUUUUCUAUCCAGACAGCAUCCCUAACAUUGUAGUUCCUGACAACCAGUCUGCAUUUCAGAAAUGCAAUAGAGACUAUAAUGAUGAUUUUACGUUUCUUCCUGACAACAUGUUUUACAAUGCUACAUUACCUCACUCAGAAGUCCUGGAAACUAGUGCAAGGACCACGCAAUUUGAAUUAGAUCGUGAUGAUGGUACCAGCACAAUCGUCAGAGAAAUGAGGAACGAACAAACAGCGAAACAAAACUACAACAUUUUAGAAAUAGACACGAACGAUUUUAAUAUUGAAGAUUAUAUCUAGAAAUAUAUCAUGAAAAAUAGUCAUAGUAAUCGUUGAAAUACAAUUUUUACCUUGAUAA